rnacentral:tRNA from 1 species
AGCCCUGAGGUGUGAACAUGUUAGAUUGCAAAUCUAAAGAAGUAGAGUAAAGUCUACCGGGGCUU